rnacentral:lncRNA from 1 species
GAGCCAAGAUUGUGCCACUGCCACUGCACUCCAGUCUUGGUGACAGAGAGAGACUCCAUCUCAGAAAAACAUCAAAAAAAGAAUACCCACAAUAGAUAGGUUUUAGGGAAAUAAAAUUGUUAGAGAAGACAGACAAAAACUUCAACUAAAAUAUAAGAGCUCAUAACAGAAUUUGACUAUGGCACACGCACACACACAUACACACAAACUUUCUGGAGCUGAAAAAGGUUUAACUAAAAGAUUAAAAGACAAAAUGGUGGUAUAGAAGACAAAUAGAAAAAGGCUUAAAAGACAGAAAAUGUACAAAGAGAUGCCAAUCAUGAGGGGAAAAAUGAGAAGACAUAAUGAGGAUAAAUAACAGGAUUCAGAAGCAUAAAAAGAGAUGGGCUUGCUAGAAAACAGAAUCAAAUCUGAUGCAGUAACAGGUCAAUGGGGAGUGUGGUCUCCAGGAAGCAGUUUGAAGGGAGAGGAGUCUGAAGCAGGGAGGAGGGAGAGCAGGCACAGAGGCCCAGCCAGCUGGCUGCAGCUUCCUAAGAAGCACAACUGAAUGCUUGGUCUCCUGGGAUGUGUUCAGACAGGUGGUGUAGACCACUGGAUCUCAGAAAGUCCUUCAGAAGGAGUAGUAGGUGCUCUCCAGCUCCCACUGGUCAAAGGUCAGGUGUUCAGACAGGUGGUGUAGACCACUGGAUCUCAGAAAGCCCUUCAGAAGGAGUAGUAUGUGCUCUCCAGCUCCCACUGGUCAAAGGUCAGGGAUGCCAGUGACAUGGAUGUCACUGUUACAUUUGUUACAGCCCCACUGGUCCCUGAGGCUGUGUUCCUUUUUUGGUUCCAGUCUAUUUUCUCUCUGUCUUGCUGUCUGAUCUUCAAAUGCACAUUUUGUGGCUAAUGCCCAUUGUGCCUGUUAUCAAACCAUCGUUUGAUUAUAUAACUGUCCUCAUUUGUACUUCAGUGUUUUAAAAGAAUCUAGCCUUAGAGAAAUGAGCCACAGACAAAAUACACAAAUGCUCAAAACAGCCAGUUCCUAAAUAAAUAAAUAUUAGAUUGAAAACUAAAGCUGGUCCCUAGGAGGUAGGUGAUACAUAUCCAUCAUUACAAACCAAAUCUUUACUGAGUUGAUUAACACAAUUAAUUGAAAUGUUAACAAGAGGAGUAGGAAGGUAACCUAAAAGUCACAGACUGAUAUAACAAAUAAUAGCUUGGAAAAAUCCAUAUUUACUGUUGUUUUAUCUUCUGUAACACUUUCCAGGGAAGAUGGAACAAGUUUGGCUAAGCCGUAAUGUCUAAAAUAUCCCCCAAGAAACUGCACAUAUUUUUUGCCAGUUUGCUCAGUUUGAUCAUAUGAAGUUCAGUAAUAACUGUAGGUCUCCUGGCUGUCAAGCCAGAGGAGGCUUGGAAUGUGACAUGUGACACACUGACCUGCUGCCACCCCCACUUCCUAUAAUGCCCUCUCAGAAGACAGUGCUGGAAAACUCAGACAGCAGAAUGAAAAGAAUAGCACCAGAAGAAGUAAAAGCUUUCACAGCCAAAAGGCAGAGGAGCACUUCUGGCUGAAUUAAAAGGGUGAUUGGGGCAAAGAGAAAUGAAGGGUACCAUGUUGUUUAAUAAGAAGGAAGAGCUAUGAACUGUAUUUACUCAUUUUUUAAAGUUUAUUCGAUUUUUUUUUCAUUGCUACUUGUCCCUUUGGCCUUAUCACCAAAGCAGUGAGGUGGAAGUCUGAGUAAGGAAGGAGAAAAAUCAGUGCUGUGAAGAAUAUGGAAUUCAGUCAGAAAACUGUCAGCUCUAAUUCUCAUCAUGGGGUCAGGGCCAGCACAUAAUUUUCAAGCCUUAGAGCUCGCCAGGCACCAACAGCUCCUGAGCACGGAGCUGGAGGAGCUGUGAUGAGCCCCCUGGGCUUAGGCAAGGGGCAGGGAAGAGGCAACAAUGGCACCCAGCUGAGGACCGGGCCAUGGUGAUAAAUGGGAAGCCCAGGCCAUUUCAACCAGAACCAUGCUUGGAAAAUCAAGCAAGUAAGAUGAUGUGUUACAGAGGAUAAUGUGUGUGCAAAAGGGCAUGUGUGUGUGUUUGUAGAUGCAUGAAGGUUUUUGUGUGAAUGUAGAAAGCAGGCUUGGCCAUGGUUGGAG